rnacentral:lncRNA from 1 species
CGCCCGGCCGUCGCGAGUCCGGGCGCGGGCGGCUCCGGGCGGCUCCGGGCGGGGCGGCCGCGCGAGGGUUCCGGCCUGACCGAGCCGGGGGAGCAAGGAGCCCGCGACCCCUCCGGCGCGCGUGCGCGGUGCGGCCCUCACGCACACCACCGCCGCCACCCCUGGCCGCCGAGGCCUCCGCGACGCCUGUCUCGGCUCCGGGAACGCGGCGGGCGGGCGGCAAAACCCGGUCUGGAAGGGGGUGGGGAUCACACGGCGUGGCUUAAAGGCCCCGCUCCGGCGUCCUCCACCAGGCUGGAGAAGCUGCCGAGUUCCCAGGCGGGGCCCCGGAGGCAAAGGCUCGGCCGAGGGCAAAGCCAUGUCUGCGGUUGCCAGGACCUGAAGAUGUAUGAGCGACCUGAACCGUCUCUGGAAAAGUCAUAUUUUCCAGGCUUUCGUGAAGUAGUCAUCGCUCCUGUUCUAAAUCUGGAGGCGGCUGCGUAUCUAUUUCAGUGAGAGAGGAAGAUGUAAAAACUAGACCGGACUCGGGGAAACGUGGGCAGCGAGUGGGGUUGGAUCGCGCCUGAGGUCCACUCAGUCCCCGUGACUCCUCAGACCUGGGUGUCUUCAUCAGCUUAGGAAUUGGCUGAAGCAAGUCUCCAUAUUUUGAAGCUCAGGCCCCUUGUGUUGCAACAGGAGUGUCGUUGGUCAUAUCGGGCAUCCUCCUCCAGAGAACUGAAGAACACCCCUCCGGAGUCAGGAUGACCUGAGGGCUACACAAGGCUCAUUUUUCAUUCCCUGUGCCAUCUGGCUCCGGCAGCCACAAGACCUUUCUGGGCCUGAAUAACUUCAUCUGUGCAAUGAAGGUAAAAACAGUGUCUACCUAAGAGGACAUUGUGAGAAUCAGCAAUAAUAUCCAUGAAAUGCUCAGCACCUGCCACCCACAAGGUGCUCAGCCUGCGAGAGGGAAGCUUCCACGGGAGGCAAAGGGCAGAGGCCUCACGAAACACUUUUUCCUAGCACAUUCUUUCUCUGUGAUUUUGGUGGUCCUUUGUGCCUUCAAACAAUGUUCAGUCCUCUCAGACAGAAGACUCUGUGUUCUUCAUUCACUCUGUGUAAGUCAUGGGUGGCCAUUUAAUACAUCUUGGUCAUCAGCAUGGACAAAGAUAACGAUGACCAAUGCACUGCUGGUCAGGUUCUGUUGUGUCUUCCAGAACCUGAUAUUAGGGAACCUGCCUAGCCUGUGGUAACCCUUGAGAGGGGUGUAGUAUAAGGGAUGAGCUAGUCUGCUUUUUAGGCCACAAAAAUAUUUGGUUGAAACAAGGCUGCUGACACUUUAACCAGUCCCGGGAGGACACGAAGCCACUUCAUAGUACUGAAAUCUUGG